GGGGCCGUUGCACAGUCUGGAUAGUGCGGACGCUUGCGGAGCGUCAGGUCGUGCGAUCGAAGCGCACCGGUCCCGCCU
rnacentral:tRNA from 2 species